rnacentral:rRNA from 1 species
AGAGUUUGAUCAUGGCUCAGGGCGAACGCUGGCGGCGUACCUAACACAUGCAAGUCGAACGAGGAUCGUCGGGUUAGCAAUAAUUCGGCGGUCCUAGUGGCGCACGGGUGAGUAACACGUGGGUGACCUGCCCUUGAGUUCGGGAUACCCCCUCGAAAGGGGGGCUAAUACCGGAUACGUUCCCCGGUUGAAAGACUGGGGAGGAAAGGUGGCGCAAGCUGCCGCUCUUGGAGGGGCUCGCGGCCUAUCAGCUAGUUGGCGGGGUAACGGCCCACCAAGGCUAUGACGGGUAGCUGGUCUGAGAGGACGACCAGCCACACGGGGACUGAGACACGGCCCCGACUCCUACGGGAGGCAGCAGUGGGGAAUUUUCCGCAAUGGGCGAAAGCCUGACGGAGUGACGCCGCGUGUGGGACGAAGGCCUUCGGGUCGUAAACCACUGUCAGUGGGAAAGAUGGGUGUCGGCGCUAAUACCGCCGGCAUCUGACGGUACCUGCAGAGGAAGCCCCGGCCGACUCUGUGCCAGCAGCCGCGGUAAGACAGAGGGGGCAAGCGUUGCUCGGAAUUACUGGGCGUAAAGGGCGCGUAGGCGGGAUGGCAAGUCGGUCGUGAAAUCCCUCGGCUCAACUGAGGAACGUCGAUCGAUACUGCUGUUCUUGAGGAUUGCAGAGGAGACUGGAAUUCCCGGUGUAGCGGUGAAAUGUGUAGAGAUCGGGAGGAACACCGGUGGCGAAGGCGGGUCUCUGGGCAAUUCCUGACGCUGAGGCGCGAAAGCGUGGGGAGCAAACGGGAUUAGAUACCCCAGUAGUCC